CACGCUGCGUUCCUCAGUCCCCCAGGAUGUAUCCAACGGAAAGCUAUAACACAGCCGAGACUGCUACCUUCAAACCGUCAUUAUCCACCCCGGAAAACUGAUGCUGGCCUGCAAACCGAAGCAAGCUCCGGCAAGCAAGUCUGACUUCAAGCGUUUCCCUUCCAACAAUUUCACGUACUGUUAACUCUCUUUCCAAAGUGCUUUUCAUCUUUCCCUCACGGUACUUGUUCGCUAUCGGUCUCUCGCCAAUAUUUAGCUUUAGAUGGAAUUUACCACCCAAUUUGAGCUGCAUUCCCAAACAACUCGACUCAUUGAAAGUGUAUCACAAAGCGCUGGGCGUCCGCACCAUAUACGGGGGUUUCACCACUAUGCCGCUGUAUUCCAACAGACUUGUGUGCGGUCCAACGCGGAAAACACUUCUAGAGAUUACAACUCGGACACCGAAGGUGCCAGAUUAUAAAUUUGAGCUCUUCCCGCUUCGCUCGCCGCUACUAG
rnacentral:rRNA from 1 species